GACCAGCCACACUGGAACUGAGACACGGUCCAGACUCCUACGGGAGGCAGCAGUGGGGAAUUUUGGACAAUGGGGGCAACCCUGAUCCAGCAAUGCCGCGUGAGUGAAGAAGGCCUUCGGGUUGUAAAGCUCUUUUGUCAGGGAAGAAACGGUGGGGGCUAAUAUCUCCUGCUAAUGACGGUACCUGAAGAAUAAGCACCGGCUAACUACGUGCCAGCAGCCGCGGUAAUACGUAGGGUGCAAGCGUUAAUCGGAAUUACUGGGCGUAAAGCGUGCGCAGGCGGUUUGGUAAGACAGAUGUGAAAUCCCCGGGCUUAACCUGGGAAUUGCAUUUGUGACUGCCCGGCUAGAGUGUGUCAGAGGGGGGUAGAAUUCCACGUGUAGCAGUGAAAUGCGUAGAGAUGUGGAGGAAUACCGAUGGCGAAGGCAGCCCCCUGGGAUAACACUGACGCUCAUGCACGAAAGCGUGGGGAGCAAACAGGAUUAGAUACCCUGGUAGUCCACGCCCUAAACGAUGUCUACUAGUUGUCGGGUCUUAAUUGACUUGGUAACGCAGCUAACGCGUGAAGUAGACCGCCUGGGGAGUACGGUCGCAAGAUUA
rnacentral:rRNA from 1 species